UACGGUGGUCAUAGCGUAGGGGAAACGCCCGGUCUCAUUCCGAACCCGGAAGCUAAGCUCUACUGCGCCGAUGGUACUGCACUCGGGAGGGUGUGGGAGAGUAGGUCGCUGCCGUAA
rnacentral:rRNA from 1 species